rnacentral:tRNA from 7 species
UAGGAUAAGGUGUUUAGGUGCACGGAGAAAUUUUGAAUUCUUAAGUGUAGGUUCAAUUCCUAUUGUCCUAG